AAAGAAAACCAUCUAUGCCUGUACUGCGCUUCCAAGGAGCAUGAAGUCUCAAGUUGUCCUAUCCUUAAAAAACCUAAGAAAGUGGGAACACCAUCAGCAUCCGCUUGACGCUGUUAUUGACUCGGGAGCUUUCAUGUCAUAUAUUGAUUCUGAUAUAGUUAAGAUUAAUAAAAUACCCUUAAUUAAAAAAAA